UUGAUCUACUUUUCUCGUGAGCGGAGGUGAUCUACUUUCCUUUUCUUGUGGUGGUGACUACUAGAUUGCAAUAAAAUCAGAAACUUGCUGCAUUAUAGCGUAUAGAUCAUCAACGGCAUUUUUGUGAAAUUGAUAUGCCUCAUCUUCUUUUAUCUAUGAAGAUUUAUAGCGUAUAGAUUGCAAAAACCCAUCUCAGUUUCCUUUCAUAAAAAGCCACCGCUCUCUAAAACCCUAAAACCUCACACCAUCACUGCCACCAUGCUCGCCGUCACCGUAGAAGCCUCCUAUAUAAUUUUCUUCUCAAUAGCUUCUCCCCACACCUGAACUCCUCUUUUCUCUAUGCCUAUGUUGUGACCGGUGAAAAUUGAAAUUAAGGAGUUUAUUAGAAUUUUUUUAUUUUGUUAUUGGAUGUUCAGUAAAAGAGAAGAAGAUUAGUAUGAAUGUAUGAUCGGAAAAUCAAUUUGUCUAGAUGAUUCGCUUUUCUC